GCCGCGGCGAUAGCUCAGUGGGUAAAGCGCCAGGUGAGAAGAAGCGCCAGGCGAUUACUCCGAGAGCUAUUACCUGCGCGGGUUCGAAUCCCGCCUGUGGCA